UUUCCUGUGGCUCAGUCAGUACAGAGCAUUGUGAUAGCAACACAAAAGGUCAGGGGUUCAAAUCCCAGGAAAA